GAAGAACCAUCCCAGAUAUCAGACUCUUCAGGAAUCAAUGGCAAACCUAAGAUGCUGACACAGUCAGAGACAAACAUCCAGGAAACUAGAGAAGUGAAGGAAGUUGUGCAAGAGAUGAGGGAUAAAAACUAUGGUACAGGAGAAUAUAUUGGUGGUUUCCUGACAUCCAAAAAGCAGCCAGGCAUUGUUUUUCAAAUCAAAGCAAGCACAUACAGAGCAGCAAGCCAGUUAUAAUAACAAUUGGAUUCAGGUGAACCCUGUUUCCAACACAAAACAUACUAGACCAGUUUUAUCUCAGCCAAAGAACAAAACAGUUGCCACUGAACAAGACAUACCCCUUAACAAAGAGGUAAAAGAUAACAUCUCGAAGUUUAUUCAUAGGAUGGCAGUUGGAGAUGGCAAGCAAAAUUUGGAAGAGGGACCGGGGAGUGUGAUCACACUUGCAGGUGAUAAUAGAGGAGCAUCUAUGCAACUUGGUUCUGACUCGUCCAGAAAAGAAGGACAAUCCACAUUCCCAGAGGCUACAAACUGAAACCAGAUCAAAGUGUCGAUGCAACUACAGAUGCAGAGGGAAAUUCAGUGGGAAGGCGACCAAAAGAUGUAAGGACCAUGGAAGGUCAAGAAAUAGAGGCAUAUCCAAACUGCAACGUGCAGGGCAUGAACAACUCAAUUACAUUUGAUAGUGCCAUUGAGGCAAAAAAUUCAGGUAUACAUAUGUUGUUCCCUCGUAUGCCUUCAGAACCUAUAAGAUCAAGUGAGAGAACUGGACCCUUUGAGGCACACAAGGCUGAAUUUAAUGUAACCCCUGCCCAGAAACUUACAUACGAGCCAAAGAUCAAAAGAAGAUGCCUCAAAGGCCUUUCCCUUGAACCAAGUGAUUCUGAUCCAGAUAACCAUGGUUGCCAUGUUGGCUGCAUGGAGAAAAGUAAUGAUAACGAGAUAGAGAUUCUUUGAAAACUACAAUUGUAAUACAUGUAAUAAGUUAAAUAUCCUUUUGUACUUACUCAAUAACCUCUGUUUAAAGCAACUGCACUUGAGAUGGCUCUGAUAUAUGAAACAUGAUAGUUAUGAAAUGUUGUUCUACUGCCUCGUUUUGAUGUGCAUAUGUGAAUACUAGCCAAAUCUAUUAAAAGGGCAGCCCGAAGAACAAAGCAUUCCGCGUUCACGCAGGAUCCGGAGAAGGGCUGCACCCAAAGGGGGUGUGUAGGCAGCCUACCCUGAUGCUUGGCAAAAUCUGAUUGAGAGAGAAAAAUAGGGAAAGAAGAAGAAAAGGGAACAAAAGAAAGGAGAAGAUAGAACUUCACUAUGUUAGUUACUAUACAUUACUAUGCAUGAUUUAAGGAUGGGAGCAUGGGUUCACG
rnacentral:lncRNA from 1 species